UACGAGUGGUGCUAGCGUUAUUCGGAAUUAUUGGGCGUACAGGGUGCGCAGACGGUAUAUUAAGUCAACUGUCAAAACCCUCGGCUUAACCGAGGACCGGCAGUAGAUACUGGUAUGCUAGAGGAUGGAAGAGAGAAGUGGAAUUCUUGGAGUAGCGGUAAAAUGCGUAGAUCUCAAGAGGAACACCGAUGGCGAAGGCAGCUUCUUGGUCCAUUUCUGACGUUCAUGCACGAAAGCGUGGGGAGCAAACAGG
rnacentral:rRNA from 1 species